ACGGGAGGCAGCAGUGAGGAAUAUUAGGCAAUGGGGGAAACUCUGACGCAGUGACGCCGCGUAUAGGAAGAAGGUUUUCGGAUUGUAAACUACUGUCGAUAGGGAAGAAAAAGGACAGUACCUAUCAAGAAAGCUCCGGCUAACUACGUGCCAGCAGCCGCGGUAAUACGUAGGGAGCAAGCGUUAUCCGGAUUUAUUGGGUGUAAAGGGUGCGUAGACGGGAAGUUAAGUUAGUUGUGAAAUCCCUCGGCUCAACUGAGGAACUGCAUCUAAAACUGACAUUCUUGAGUGCAGGAGAGGAAAGUGGAAUUCCUAGUGUAGCGGUGAAAUGCGUAGAUAUUAGGAGGAACACCAGUGGCGAAGGCGGCUUUCUGGACUGUAACUGACGUUGAGGCACGAAAGUGUGGGGAGCAAACAGGAUUAGAUACCCUGGUA
rnacentral:rRNA from 1 species